UACGAAGGGGGCUAGCGUUGCUCGGAAUCACUGGGCGUAAAGCGCACGUAGGCGGUUUCUUAAGUCAGGGGUGAAAUCCUGGAGCUCAACUCCAGAACUGCCUUUGAUACUGGGAGACUCGAGUCCGGGAGAGGUGAGUGGAACUGCGAGUGUAGAGGUGAAAUUCGUAGAUAUUCGCAAGAACACCAGUGGCGAAGGCGGCUCACUGGCCCGGUACUGACGCUGAGGUGCGGAAAGCGUGGGGAGCAAACAGGAUU
rnacentral:rRNA from 1 species